CCCUUAGAUGUCCUGGGCCGCACGCGCGCUACACUGAGUGUCUGAGAUACGAGUCUGCCUGGUCCGGCAAGGUCUAGGUAAUCGCUAAAAGACACAUCAUGCUUGGGAUAGAUUAUUGCAAAUAUUAAUCUUGAACGAGGAAUUCCUAGUAAACGCAGAUCAUCAAUCUGCAUUGAUUACGUCCCUGCCCUUUGUACACACCGCCCGUCGCACCUACCGAUUGGAUGGUCCGGUGAAGCCUCGGGAUUGUGGUUCUUGCCGCUUUAUUGUAGCGUGACCGCGAGAACUUGUCUAAACCUUAUCAUCUAGAGGAAGGUGAAGUCGUAACA
rnacentral:rRNA from 1 species